UAUGAUAUACAGAAAUAAAAAUUCAGACAGGAGGUAAGAAAACAAGAAAAACAAAAACCAGGAACGAAAAACGGGGGACUCUUUAUAACCAGAUACGAGAACGGUUGGAGUCCGGAAGCCAGGAUUCCGGCCGUAACACUUGUCCAUACCAUCUCAAGAGAUAGGUUGAGUUUAACCUAGGUGAAUCUUGGCAUUGGUCGACAGCUGCUUUCGUUUCUUACUCACC